UACAGAGGUCCCAAGCGUUGUUCGGAUUCACUGGGCGUAAAGGGUGCGUAGGCGGUCGGGUAAGUCUGCUGUGAAAACCCGCAGCUCAACUGUGGGCUUGCAGCUGAUACGGGCGGGCUGGGAUUCGGUAGGGGAGACUGGAAUUCCUGGUGUAGCGGUGAAAUGCGCAGAUAUCAGGAGGAACACCGGUGGCGAAGGCGGGUCUCUGGGCCGAUAUCGACGCUGAGGAGCGAAAGCGUGGGGAGCGAACAGG
rnacentral:rRNA from 1 species